rnacentral:rRNA from 1 species
GUUUAGUGGCGCACGGGUGCGUAACGCGUGGGAAUCUGCCCCUUGGUUCGGAAUAACAGUUGGAAACGACUGCUAAUACCGGAUGAUGACGUAAGUCCAAAGAUCUAUCGCCGAGGGAUGAGCCCGCGUAGGAUUAGGUAGUUGGUGUGGUAAAGGCGCACCAAGCCGACGAUCCUUAGCUGGUCUGAGAGGAUGAUCAGCCACACUGGGACUGAGACACGGCCCAGACUCCUACGGGAGGCAGCAGUGGGGAAUAUUGGACAAUGGGCGAAAGCCUGAUCCAGCAAUGCCGCGUGAGUGAUGAAGGCCUUAGGGUUGUAAAGCUCUUUUACCCGGGAUGAUAAUGACAGUACCGGGAGAAUAAGCUCCGGCUAACUCCGUGCCAGCAGCCGCGGUAAUACGGAGGGAGCUAGCGUUAUUCGGAAUUACUGGGCGUAAAGCGCACGUAGGCGGCUUUGUAAGUAAGAGGUGAAAGCCCAGAGCUCAACUCUGGAAUUGCCUUUUAGACUGCAUCGCUUGAAUCAUGGAGAGGUCAGUGGAAUUCCGAGUGUAGAGGUGAAAUUCGUAGAUAUUCGGAAGAACACCAGUGGCGAAGGCGGCUGACUGGACAUGUAUUGACGCUGAG